rnacentral:tRNA from 1 species
AGUCGCUUGGCCGAGUGGUAAGACCGCGCCCCCGCGAAGCGGGGCGCGGGAGUUCGAAUCUCUUAGCGAUUA